rnacentral:rRNA from 1 species
UACGUAGGGUGCGAGCGUUGUCCGGAAUUAUUGGGCGUAAAGGGCUCGUAGGCGGCUUGUCGCGUCGGGAGUGAAAUCCACUGGCUUAACUGGUGGCUUGCUUUCGAUACGGGCAGACUGGAGGUAUGCAGGGGGAGAACGGAAUUCCUGGUGUAGCGGUGAAAAUGCGCAGAUAUCAGGAGGAACACCGAUGGCGAAGGCAGGUCUCUGGGCAUUAACUGACGCUGAGGAGCGAAAGCAUGGGGAGCGAACAGG